CUGGCACGGAGGCGCCUGUCCCCCGGAACCCAGUGCUGCCGCCGCCCCCAGGGCCCUCCUCCUGGCACAGGCAGGGAGACUGAGGCCCAGAGACACCUGUCAUCCACUCUACGUUGCCCUUCGGAGAUGAAAAUUGCAUCGUGCCUGUGCCAACGUGAGGGGCCCUCAUAGGAAAUGGUGGGGCCUUCGGAGGCAAAGCUAAGACCCUGCAGGCUUGGCCAGGGGCAAUCCAGGAGGGCUUCCUGAAAGAGCUCUGAGACUCAGUUUGCCUGCCAACGAAAGGGGACAAGCAUCCUCCCUCACAGAGAUGACCGCUGACCCCGGGAACAGGACACAGUGAGAAGGCAGCUGUCUGCAAUUCAGGAAGAGAGCCCUCACGAGGAAUUGAAUCUGCUGACACCUUAGUCUUGGACUUCAGAGUCUCCAGAACUAUGAUGAAACACCUACCAGGUGGAAGAAGCUAACUGUAUGCUGCCCACAAGCACGUAGACCCCAGACCUGUUGGAAACAGAAGGUUGAUGAUGUUGACUCCCAAUUACCUCACCACCGACCAAUCAGAAGAAUGUCCAUGAACUGAUUACACACUCCACAGCCCUUAAAAACCUUUCCCUGAAAGCUUUCAGGGAGUUCAGUCCCUUUAAGUACUAGCUACCUGGACUCCUUCUUGCUGCCCUCAAUAAACUCUGCACUUCCUUCACCACAACCAAACGUCAGUAGAUUGGCUUUACUGUGUGCAGGUAAGUGGACCCAAGUUUGGUUCAGUAACAUUAUCAGACAUUAUCAAACAAUAAACCCCUAGUACAACUGGACUCUUGGGACAGCCCCACAAAGUCACAGACAAUGGAAUUUCCAGUGCAGUUAAUAGCCUGAACAUUAAGCCACAGAAAUCCAGGACAAUGAGCCCCCAGCAGGCAAGGGAUUUCGGAAGAGUUUUUACCAUGACAUCUUCAGGUAAUGGACAGCAUGAC